GCCUUCAUAGUGUAGUGGUCAGCAUGCUCGACGCGUAACCGAGAGGUCCGUGGUUCGAUUCUUGGCGAAGGCG
rnacentral:tRNA from 1 species